rnacentral:rRNA from 1 species
UACGGAGGGUGCGAGCGUUGUCCGGAAUCAUUGGGCGUAAAGGGCGCGUAGGUGGCCCGGUGAGUCUUUGGUGAAAGCGCGGGGCUCAACCCUGCGUCGGCCAUGAAUACUGCCGCGGCUGGAGCACUGUAGAGGCAGGCGGAAUUCCGGGUGUAGCGGUGGAAUGCGUAGAUAUUACCAAGAACACCAAUGGCGAAGGCAGCUUGCUGGGCUACUCCUGACACUGAGGUACGAAAGCGUGGGGAGCGAACAGG